GGGGCUUUAGCUCAGUGAUAGAGCACUUGCCUAGCAAGCAUAAGGCCCUGGGUUCGGUCCCCAGCUCCA
rnacentral:tRNA from 1 species